GACGAACGCUGGCGGCGUGCUUAACACAUGCAAGUCGAACGGUAAGGCCUUCGGGUACACGAGUGGCGAACGGGUGAGUAACACGUGGGUGAUCUGCCCCCUACUCUGGGAUAAGCCUGGGAAACUGGGUCUAAUACUGGAUAUGACCUCCUUCUGCAUGGUUGGUGGUGGAAAGUUUUUCGGUAGGGGAUGAGCCCGCGGCCUAUCAGCUUGUUGGUGGGGUAAUGGCCUACCAAGGCGACGACGGGUAGCCGGCCUGAGAGGGCGACCGGCCACACUGGGACUGAGACACGGCCCAGACUCCUACGGGAGGCAGCAGUGGGGAAUAUUGCACAAUGGGCGCAAGCCUGAUGCAGCGACGCCGCGUGGGGGAUGACGGCCUUCGGGUUGUAAACCUCUUUCAGCCGGGACGAAGCGAGAGUGACGGUACCGGUAGAAGAAGCACCGGCCAACUACGUGCCAGCAGCCGCAGUAAAAC
rnacentral:rRNA from 1 species